UACGAAGGGGGCUAGCGUUGCUCGGAAUCACUGGGCGUAAAGGGCGCGUAGGCGGAUCUUUAAGUCGGGGGUGAAAGCCUGAGGCUCAACCUCAGAAUUGCCUUCGAUACUGGAGAUCUUGAGACCGGAAGAGGUGAGUGGAACUGCGAGUGUAGAGGUGAAAUUCGUAGAUAUUCGCAAGAACACCAGUGGCGAAGGCGGCUCACUGGCCCGGUACUGACGCUGAGGUGCGAAAGCGUGGGG
rnacentral:rRNA from 1 species